GAUGAACGCUGGCGGCGUGCCUAAUACAUGCAAGUCGAGCGGACGGACGAGAAGCUUGCUUGUCUGAUGUUAGCGGCGGACGGGUGAGAAACACGUGUAUAAUCUACCUGUAAGAGUGGGAUCACUUCGGGACACCGGAGCUAAUACCGGAUGAUAUUUUGAACCGCAUGGUUCAAAAGUGAAAGACGGUCUUGCUGUCACUUAUCGAUGGAUCCGCGCUGGUUUGGCUAGUUGGUAAGGUAACGGCUUACUAAGGCAACGAUGCAUAGCCGACCUGAUAGGCUGAUCGCCCGCCUUGGAGCGUGACCAGCGUCCUGGCGACUGCGGGAGGCACCAGACUGGAACCGGACGCAGCAGUCGAAAGCAUGACGGAGUGACGCCGCGCGAGAGACGAAAGCCUCCGGAUCGUAAAACUCUGUUUCUGGGUAUGAACAUAUUUGUAAUUAACUGUAGACAUCGUGACGGUACUUAAUCAGAAAGCCACGGCUAACUACGUG
rnacentral:rRNA from 1 species